AUAUUUAAAGAACCUAAUAGUAACAGUGGNGGCUUGUAAAAACGCCCGUCCUCGGCCAUGUGGAAAUUAUAUANGAGUCGUAGAAGCUUUGGUUGCGUCUACUCUAUAAGAUUAAAAUAUAUCUGUGAUGGGAGUAGGAUGUGGCCGGUAGU
rnacentral:rRNA from 1 species